UGGGGAAUAUUGGACAAUGGGGGCAACCCUGAUCCAGCCAUGCCGCGUGAGUGAUGAAGGCCUUCGGGUUGUAAAGCUCUUUUGGCGGGGACGAUGAUGACGGUACCCGCAGAAUAAGCCCCGGCUAACUUCGUGCCAGCAGCCGCGGUAAUACGAAGGGGGCUAGCGUUGCUCGGAAUUACUGGGCGUAAAGCGCACGUAGGCGGUCUUUUAAGUCGGGGGUGAAAUCCUGGAGCUCAACUCCAGAACUGCCUUCGAUACUGGAAGACUUGAGUCCGGGAGAGGUGAGUGGAACUGCGAGUGUAGAGGUGAAAUUCGUAGAUAUUCGCAAGAACACCAGUGGCGAAGGCGGCUCACUGGCCCGGUACUGACGCUGAGGUGCGAAAGCGUGGGGAGCAAAC
rnacentral:rRNA from 1 species